UACGUAGGGUGCGAGCGUUGUCCGGAAUUAUUGGGCGUAAAGAGCUCGUAGGCGGUUUGUUGCGUCUAUCGUGAAAACCUGCAGCUUAACUGUGGGCUUGCGGUGGAUACGGGCAGACUUGAGUUCGGUAGGGGAGACUGGAAUUCCUGGUGUAGCGGUGAAAUGCGCAGAUAUCAGGAGGAACACCGGUGGCGAAGGCGGCAUCCUGGACCAAUACUGACACUGAGGAGCGAAAGCCAGGGGAGCAAACGGG
rnacentral:rRNA from 1 species